rnacentral:miRNA from 1 species
GGCCACUACCUUGCAGUCACGUG